UUAAGUCUGAUGUGAAAGCCCCCGGCUCAACCGGGGAGGGUCAUUGGAAACUGGGAACUUGAGUGCAGAAGAGGAGAGUGGAAUUCCACGUGUAGCGGUGAAAUGCGUAGAGAUGUGGAGGAACACCAGUGGCGAAGGCGACUCUCUGGUCUGUAACUGACGCUGAGGAGCGAAAGCGUGGGGAGCGAACAGGAUUAGAUAACCUGGUAGUCCACGCCGUAAACGAUGAGUGCUAAGUGUUAGGGGGUUUCCGCCCCUUAGUGCUGCAGCUAACGCAUUAAGCACUCCGCCUGGGGAGUACGGUCGCAAGACUGAAACUCAAAGGAAUUGACGGGGGCCCGCACAAGCGGUGGAGCAUGUGGUUUAAUUYGAAGCAACGCGAAGAACCUUACCAGGUCUUGACAUCCUCUGACAAUCCUAGAGAUAGGACGUCCCCUUCGGGGGCAGAGUGACAGGUGGUGCAUGGUUGUCGUCAGCUCGUGUCGUGAGAUGUUGGGUUAAGUCCCGCAACGAGCGCAACCCUUGAUCUUAGUUGCCAGCAUUCAGUUGGGCACUCUAAGGUGACUGCCGGUGACAAACCGGAGGAAGGUGGGGAUGACGUCAAAUCAUCAUGCCCCUUAUGACCUGGGCUACACACGUGCUACAAUGGACAGAACAAAGGGCAGCGAAACCGCGAGGUUAAGCCAAUCCCACAAAUCUGUUCUCAGUUCGGAUCGCAGUCUGCAACUCGACUGCGUGAAGCUGGAAUCGCUAGUAAUCGCGGAUCAGCAUGCCGCGGUGAAUACGUUCCCGGGCCUUGUACACACCGCCCGUCACACCACGAGAGUUUGUAACACCCGAAGUCGGUGAGGUAACCUUUUAGGAGCCAGCCGCCGAAGGUGAACAGGA
rnacentral:rRNA from 1 species